rnacentral:rRNA from 1 species
AGGACGAACGCUGGCGGCGUGCUUAACACAUGCAAGUCGAGCGGAAAGGCCCUUCGGGGUACUCGAGCGGCGAACGGGUGAGUAACACGUGAGUAAUCUGCCCCUAGCUCUGGGAUAGCUCCGGGAAACCGGGAUUAAUACCGGAUACGACCACUUUAGACAUCUGUUGUGGUGGAAAGAAUUUUGGCUAGGGAUGAGCUCGCGGCCUAUCAGCUUGUUGGUGGGGUAAUGGCCUACCAAGGCGACGACGGGUAGCCGGCCUGAGAGGGCGGCCGGCCACACUGGGACUGAGACACGGCCCAGACUCCUACGGGAGGCAGCAGUGGGGAAUAUUGCGCAAUGGGCGAAAGCCUGACGCAGCGACGCCGCGUGGGGGAUGAAGGCCUUCGGGUUGUAACCCCUUCAGCAGGGACGAAGCGAAAGUGACGGUACCUGCAGAAGAAGCGCCGGCUAACGUACGCGCCAGCAGCCGC